rnacentral:rRNA from 1 species
GACGAACGCUGGCGGCGCGCUUAACACAUGCAAGUCGAACGGAAAGGCCUGCUUUCCCUUGUGGAUUGCGGGUACUCGAGUGGCGAACGGGUGAGUAACACGUGAGUGAUCUGCCCCCAACUUGGGUAUAAGCCUGGGAAACUGGGUCUAAUUCCCGAUAGGACUGCAGGGUGGUGCCUGUGGUGGAAAACGAUUUUCUAGUGGUUGGGGAUGAGCUCGCGGCCUAUCAGCUUGUUGGUGGGGUAAUGGCCUACCAAGGCGGCGACGGGUAGCCGGACUGAGAGGGUGGACGGCCACAUUGGGACUGAGAUACGGCCCAGACUCCUACGGGAGGCAGCAGUGGGGAAUAUUGCACAAUGGGCGGAAGCCUGAUGCAGCGACGCCGCGUGGGGGAUGACGGCCUUCGGGUUGUAAACUCCUUUCGACCGCGAGGAAGCCACCUGGUUGGAAGGGUGGUGACGGUAGUGGUAGAAGAAGCACCGGCUAACUACGUG